AUUGAACGCUGGCGGCAGGCCUAACACAUGCAAGUCGAGCGGUAGAGAGGUGCUUGCACCUCUUGAGAGCGGCGGACGGGUGAGUAAUGCCUAGGAAUCUGCCUGGUAGUGGGGGAUAACGUCCGGAAACGGACGCUAAUACCGCAUACGUCCUACGGGAGAAAGCAGGGGACCUUCGGGCCUUGCGCUAUCAGAUGAGCCUAGGUCGGAUUAGCUAGUUGGUGAGGUAAUGGCUCACCAAGGCGACGAUCCGUAACUGGUCUGAGAGGAUGAUCAGUCACACUGGAACUGAGACACGGUCCAGACUCCUACGGGAGGCAGCAGUGGGGAAUAUUGGACAAUGGGCGAAAGCCUGAUCCAGCCAUGCCGCGUGUGUGAAGAAGGUCUUCGGAUUGUAAAGCACUUUAAGUUGGGAGGAAGGGUUGUAGAUUAAUACUCUGCAAUUUUGACGUUACCGACAGAAUAAGCACCGGCUAGCUCUGUGCCAGCAGCCGCGGUAACAC
rnacentral:rRNA from 1 species